AAGGACACCAUCAAGCGGGGAGCAACACGGGUCCAGAUGCCAACGGAGGACAACAGAUGGAUGGGACACCACCAGCAGAGGGUGCUCCCCAUGGACUGAGCUAAUUCCCAGAGUGACCAGUGGGAGGCGCCACGGUGGACAUCAGUCCUGACAAGAUGCCCAACUUCUCUGCCCUGAGCCACCCAGAGGAAGAGACGACUACCUCCCCACCCCCAAAGAAGAACCUGUCUGUUCUCUUGAGUGCUAUUGAAGUCAAUGCAGCAGCUCUUCCCCUACACCAACUCUCCUAGGGAUCAGCGAACUUGCUUUCAUAGGCACACUUUGUUUUUAUCCACAUCUGGAAUGACUCAUGGUGCAUCACCUACUACAUUGGGCAGAAAAUGUCUAAAGGAGUCAACAUUCGUGAAGUGAAAAGGUAUUUGAUAGUUGCCUCCUUGAUGAUACUGGUCCACAUAACAAAAUACACUCAAUCUGACAUCAUUGAAAGAUUCUACUCAGGAGAGACCCAGAAUGGAAACAGCUCGGGAUAUACAGUGCCUAAAAACCCAUGAUGGACACAGAGAUAGACGGUGGCUCUAAUUCUUCUCUCACUUACACGUAUGUAAGCCAGGAGCAACUUCAAUGAAGUGAGUGGUGGCACACUGGGGUAAAAUUGGCAUACACGAGAAGAGAAUCCAGCUCAGAUUACAUAGAUUAGCAGAGUUACAGGGAAGGGCCAAGGAAUAGCAGAGGAUACUUCAAAUCAGGAGUGAUGUCCAUGGCAGGACUGCACAGAGGAAAAACCUGCACAGCCCUGGUCUCUCAGAUACCAUGCUCUAGCCAAGGCUACAAUUCCUUCACUAGCCCAA